rnacentral:rRNA from 1 species
AUACGGAGGACGCGAGCGUUAUCCGGAUUCAUUGGGUUUAAAGGGUGCGCAGGCGGCCGUGCAAGUCAGCGGUGAAAGCCCGGGGCUCAACCCCGGAAGUGCCGUUGAUACUGCAUGGCUGGAAUGCGGUCGAGGCGGGCGGAACGGGGGGUGUAGCGGUGAAAAGCGUAGAUAUGCCACAGAACGCCGAUAGCGGAGGCAGCUCGCCAGGCCUGCAUUGACGCUCGGGCACGAAAGCGUGGGGAUCGAACAGGAUUAGAUACCCUGGUAGUCCACGCCGUAAACGAUGGGCGCUCGUCGUCGGCGGCAGACAGUCGGCGGCCAAGCGAAAGCGAUAAGCGCCCCACCUGGGGAGUACGGUCGCAAGGCUGAAACUCAAAUGAAUUGACGGGG